AGCAAAGCCCCUGGUCCCCAGUGGAAGGGCCCGGAGCAGCGGGGUUGCCAAAAACCCAUGGGGCGUGAGGCCUGGGGCACGGGGUGGUGGUGGCUUUUCAGGAACAAUGCUGACUUCUGGAAACACCCCUCGCCCCCCCCCCCCCAACACACCCCGCAGGAGGAAGGGGAAGUCCCCUGGGGCCUCCCUGCAUGGAAAUGGUAAAAAUCUUCAGUAGUGGUUCUUGGCUUCUAGGAGUGGGGCUCGGGGGUCAGAAACACCUGUGAUAAUCUAAGGAGAAGCACGGAUGUCCGACCCCAGAAACUACACAGAGACGCUCGUCCUCCUCUGGGGGUUGGGAGGGGUCACAAGCCCCAGAUUGGAAACCUCUGCUCUGAGCCCAGUUCCUUCCCGGAAGAAAGCUGGGGCAGGCAGCUAUCCUACAAACUCCUACUUCUCUUGCCGUUUUCCUGGGCAAAGAAGAGCAGCAAAUGAACACCCCGGGAGGUGUCCCCACCAUCAACCACGGUGCAGAGGCUGGACCAGGCGUCUGACUCCAGGGUCACAGCCGGGGCAAGAACAGUGGUCAUAAGAAUCUUCCCUUCAAGGCUCCCUCUCCUCUCUGGGCCUUCGCCUUCUGAGAAGUUAAACCUGCCCCCCUCAGGUCACAGGCCCCCCAAGGCGUGUUUAUAUGAACUAUAAAGUGCCUCCCCUCCCCCGCCACCUCCUCCUCCUCCCCCCCCUCCCCCUCCCCCUCCGGGGAGGCCUCGGGUUCUGAUGAAACAGGAUGUGGCACAGGAUGGACAGCAGACCCAGGUUUGAAUCCCGGCUCUGCCACCGACCAGCGCUGUGACCAUCAACCAGUUACUUCUCUCCAGCCUCGCUGAUGCUAAAUGACAGCAGUAAGCUGCCUCCCCGGAUGCCCUGGGGACAAAACAGUCAGGUGAGGAAACCGAGGCUCAGAGAGGUCAAGAGACCUGUCCGGGAUCACAAAGAGAGGAAGUGGUGGGACGGGGAUUCAGAGCCAGGCCUGCAGGCCUCCACAGCACAUAACUUCCUUACCCUGGAUCUCUCUGAACGGCUCAGGGCGGGAGGAACGUUCAGCAUCACUCACUAAGGCUCACAUCUCUCCAGGCGUCACCCAAACCCACCGCCACAGUUACCAAAUUUGCAGAUUCCUGGGCCUCGGUCCAGACCUACAGAAUCAGCAUCUCUGGGGGUGCAGCCCAGGAGUCUGCAUUCUCCAAAGCACCCAGGUGAUUCUGAGGACCCCAGAGUUUGCAGACCGCCCCAGCCCAGCCCAGCCCACCCCCCAGGAAUUCUGGCACAGUGACAGUUUCACUCGGAGAGAGAGGCGAGAACGUGGAAAGGAGCGGGUGCCGGCACCACCGGUCCCGGCACAGCCUAGUCAGGUCUGGAGAAAGCUGGAGCCCCCAAGCAGCCAGGCAGAAGGAGAGCAGGUGCGAGGAGCAGGCGGGACGGGAGGACACAGACAGGACAACAGAGGAAAAAGGAGACCAGGUGAGGUGGGACGUGGGGCCUGGGGAUGGCUCCCGCCGGGGAUCGACUCCAGCAGCGUCCCACCCCAACGCGCAGGCAGCGGGGGCUGGGAGUCCUGGCUGCUGGGGGGCCAGGGGCAGGGGACCAGCCGGCCCCGCUCAGAGAAGGGGAACAGUGCCUAGAGGACAAGGACUGUGGCUCAGGCAUCCCCCCAUAUGCCAGGGGCCAGCGAGGGGCUGGUGACACAGGAGGUCCUUGGCAAGUUUGUGAGAUGGAUGGAUGGGCAGGUGCGUGGGCAAAUGCACAGGAAGACGGGCGAAUGGACAGAGAGCUGGUUGGACAGACGGAUGGACUAUAAACAGAGGGAUGAGUGGUUGGAUGGACAGACAGAAAAAUGGCUGGAUGAGCAAAUGGAUAAACUUGGCUGGAGGACCGCAGAUCUGGGUAAAUGGACGGACAGAUGAACAAGAAGACGGGUAAAAACCCGGGGGGACCAGGGGGCGGAUGGAAGCAGUGCCGUGCCGGUAAAUAUUUAACACGCGCUUCUCCGGGAAAUAGACCCCUGCUUUUUGGCUUUCCACGAUGUCACUACGCCACCGUGGCGAAUUUCAAACCACUAGUGUGACGUCGCUGAAUGCGGAGUCGGAAAGAGCGCGCAAUUGGCUCCUAGUUCUCCUGAGCUAGGAAGAGCGGACUCUGGCACACCGCUGCGGGAAGGAGCGGGCAAACAGAGCAAGGGAUGGACGGACGGACGGACGGAUGGACGGAGGGCCGGUGGGCGUCUGGAUGGAAGGAGGGGUGGCUGACUAGCUUACACGCCACCUGGGAAGACGGAUGGAUGGAUGGAGAGACAAACACAGACAUUCAAACGCGUGAGCUGUGUGAGCAACACUGACAUCCGGUGAAGCAUUCAGAACGCGCCAAGAAGGUACUACUUCCGGAGUAGACCAGGAAACGGACCACGAGCAGGAGCGCCGGAGGCAGGCGGGCCUGGGUUUAAGUCGCCACCCCCUGCUCACUAGCUGGAAUAGUGUCUUCACCUCUCGGAGGGACACCUUCCUCACUGGGAAAGCGGCCCGGAUGAUAACCACUUCACAGAGUUACUGAGAAGAUGGAAUGGGAAAUACGUGUAGACCCCAUGACUUAGCAAGCGCUCAAAACAUGGAAGCUAGUAUUACACCAUCUUUCAGAUUAUAAGUGCUCAAUAUUUGUUGAAUGGGUGGAUAGUUGGUAGGAUGGAUGGAUGGAUGGAUGGAUGGAUGGAAGGAUGGAUGGACGGAUGGAUGAAUGGAUGGAUGAACAGAUGGAUGGAUGGAUGGAUGGAUGGAUGGUUGGAUGGAUGGAUGGAUGGAUGGAAGGAUGGAUGGAUGGAUGGACGGAUGGAUG